AUGUGGCAGCUCUCUUUGGCCAGAUAAUUGGGAAUUUGGGCGCCAUUCUCCUUCUUCCUACAUACGCUUCUUCAAUUUAGUUUCAUCGUGCCUCUACCAUCACUCUUUCUUCGUGCCUUCCCAUGGAUGUUGACUUAGAAGUUCAAAUCUUUGAAUCGAGGAUAAGUUUAUUUGAAUCUGUGGUAACUUUUUUUAGAAUCGAUUGAUCAGAUCAGAUCACUCCGUCACUCACAAAGUGAUUAUACUGUUCGAUGGUCGCAAAGCAUGUCCCGAUGGUGUUGCACUACGAGAUUGUAUAG